GGGGUGCUCGAGUGGCGAACGGGUGAGUAACACGUGAGUAACCUGCCCUUGACUUUGGGAUAACUUCAGGAAACUGGGGCUAAUACCGGAUAGGAGCUCCUGCUGCAUGGUGGGGGUUGGAAAGUUUCGGCGGUUGGGGAUGGACUCGCGGCUUAUCAGCUUGUUGGUGGGGUAGUGGCUUACCAAGGCUUUGACGGGUAGCCGGCCUGAGAGGGUGACCGGCCACAUUGGGACUGAGAUACGGCCAG
rnacentral:rRNA from 1 species